rnacentral:rRNA from 1 species
UACAGAGGUCUCAAGCGUUGUUCGGAUUCAUUGGGCGUAAAGGGUGCGUAGGUGGCGCCGUAAGUCAGGUGUGAAAUUUCGGAGCUUAACUCCGAAACUGCAUUUGAUACUGCGGUGCUUGAGGACUGGAGAGGAGACUGGAAUUUACGGUGUAGCAGUGAAAUGCGUAGAGAUCGUAAGGAAGACCAGUGGCGAAGGCGGGGUCUCUGGACAGUUCCUGACACUGAGGCACGAAGGCCAGGGGAGCAAACGGG